rnacentral:lncRNA from 1 species
AGAUGUGUCUUGCAGAUGAUCACACCCACCUUGGGUUUGGAAUGAAUGGAUAUAACUUUGGUGUUAUGAGCUAUUUCUGACGUUGGUGUUUUUUUAAGGGGAAACACUCAACAGGGGAGCCAUUAAAAGGGGACUAGGUGGAGGUUGCACAGAGGAGAUCCCUAGAAGACUUCUCCCCCACAAGCCCGUUUGUCUCCAGUUCUCUCAGGGCCCCUCCAUCACAUGAACAGUGGUUUUACCGCAGGGUCAUGACACAUGAAGAAAUUGAAGUCAGCCAGCUGAUGUGGAGAUCUCUCUCUCUCUCUGACAGAGUAAUAAGCACAACUAAGGAUAAGGUGCAGACUGCCAGCAAAAUAUUAAUUUCCUCCUUGGGUUGAUUAAUAUCCCUUGUUUUAAUUCGGUUAUUGGCGUAGCUGAGAGACAGCGUGGGGAGCUACAGUCUCACAUGGCCGCAGAGGAUACCUCCCUUUCUGAAUGAGUGACCUUAGCUGCUGGAACUUGACCCAGCCUUGGUCCAGAUGUGCAACUGCUCAAAACAGCACACUCCUGGUUGGCAAAAGCAUCGAUUAGCAUGUAACACAUGCCCACAGGAGCUAAGCGUCCAAGACUCUGUGGCUUUUGUUCCCGGGUGGAAAAGCUCAAGCCAACGUCUGUGGUUCUCCCUCCAACAGCACCAGUGUGUGCAGGCUGGGAUAUCCGGUGUCUGCACUCAUGAGAAUUUGUCAUUUUUAUGGCUCUGCGGUGAGCUCAUGUUGAGCAACGCUCUGACUCC